UACGUAGGGUGCAAGCGUUGUCCGGAAUUAUUGGGCGUAAAGAGCUCGUAGGCGGUCUGUCGCGUCGGAUGUGAAAAUCCAGGGCUCAACCCUGGACCUGCAUUCGAUACGGGCAGACUAGAGUUCGGCAGGGGAGACUGGAAUUCCUGGUGUAGCGGUGAAAUGCGCAGAUAUCAGGAGGAACACCGGUGGCGAAGGCAGCUCGCUGGAACGGUACUGACGCUGAGGCGCGAAAGCGUGGGGAGCGAACAGG
rnacentral:rRNA from 1 species